CCUACGGGGCGCAGCAGGCGCGAAAACUGUGCAAUGCGCGAAAGCGCGACACGGGGAGCUUGAGUGUCUUGGCAUAGCCAAGACUUUUCUUAUACCUAAAAAGUAUAAGGAAUAAGUGCUGGGUAAGACGGGUGCCAGCCGCCGCGGUAACAC
rnacentral:rRNA from 1 species